rnacentral:rRNA from 1 species
GGGUGGCGGCCACACCACCGGCCGUCUAGCGUGGUACGCCAGCGGCAGCCGCCGUGACGAGCGCGCGCGCAGAGGUGUAGCCCUGCUGAAGGAGGCCGCUACAUCCAUCCCAUGGGGAGGGCGAACCGAGGUAAAUAACGGUAGGGACGUAGGAAAGGAGGGUGGGUAGGUAGGUCAGUGCCUGGUGGGUACAGGAGCACGAUGGCACACACGGCAGCAGCGGCUAUCGAAGCGGUCGUCCGGCCGCUCGAAGGGUCCUCAGCGCUGGCGGCGAACUGGGCGGUGUCGGAGGGGAGAGACUUGAGACUUCGGCGCAUCCCUCCACGAGGUCCUCCCGGCGGACGCGUGUUGCGUAGCGCUCCAUCGUCAGCUUCUACCUCCAGCACUGCCCCCGGUACUCGUGGGAGGACGGGUUCGACCCGUCGUACGAGUUCCUACUCAUGUUGGACGUGUCCUUCCAGUCCCCGCUCUAGGACAAGGAGUGCCGGCUCGACCUCUCUUACCUCCGACGAGAGUAUCUCCAAAGCCUCCGGGGCUAACUGGUGGGUGGAUCAUUUGAACAUUUCGAAACCCGGUUCCUACAGUUCCUGGACAGCAUGCUUUAACUCCUGUCGCAGCUGUUUAAGUACCACGUAGAGCUGCCGGCACGUCUCCUCUUCCGCGUCUCGAAGUACCCAAAGUAGGUGUCCUCGUAGCUGGACAACUGCUCCCGGUUCUGCGCGGUGUUCUAGCCGUGGCUCCAGUUUGUGUAGUUCUCUGCGUAGGUCCUCCAGUCACGUGCCGCGCUAUCCAUGUUCCAACUGUUUCGACAACUUUUCGGACAACAGUGUUCACAACUAUCGGAAGCGGACAGUCGAGAGAUGUUUUUCCUCUGUCUCGAGCAACCGUGGCUUCUCUUCUAGGUUCUCGAUCAGCUCUGUUACUGACUCCUCCGUCUGCUCCGCAGAUUCGUCGUCGACUUCUAUCAGAGGUAACGACCAAAACCCCCUAAUCCGUUCUGUUGAGAACGAUUACGCCACAUAGUUUUCGAAUUUAGUGUUAAGCUAACACCCCGAAAACAAAGGCACAGAGAAUUAGGCUUGUAACUCUUCUAAAAAUUCUUGUAAGAAGUGGUUGAACUGUUCGUGUUAAUAUCAUUGUAGUUACUUCGCCAUACCCCGCUUCGUGUCGAGUAGUCACUCGAUUCUCUAAAAGAAGAUUUGUUCUCCAUAAAGUAACACUAACUACUGUAUACCUUGUAAAGACAUACCUUUUGUUAGUUUGUACGAAAGUAACUCUUGUCUACACCUUCAUCUUAUUAGUAUUGUUGAGCAUAAGAACUACAACGGUUUGUUCAACCAUCACAAAUACUGGAUUUCGGAGAAAGAGGAUAGCUGAGUUCUUUCAAUAAAGUGGUUUCUUAUAAACCAUAGCUUCUGUUCAUGGGAGGAUGAGUUAAUCGACUUCAUAGACUCUUGUAAAAUUUCUCUACGUCACCUCAUGGUAACCGAUAUCACUGUUGUCGAUCAUACGAUCGAUCAUUUUCUCCUUUACUAACCGGGUUCCACAUGGUUAGAUACCCAAGGCUCGGUGUUCUAUCAAGACUAUACGUCCUGUACUCUUCCCAUAAUAGUCACUCAAUGAUGCUGGAUGGACGUGUAGACUUCUGUACAAAUAACAAAUAGUCACACAUAGGUCUCCUAAUAUGGUAACAUCGACUUCUAAACUAUACCGUUACCUAACCAGUUCCAAAACAAGUCCUUCUUGUACCCUUCUCGAACAUACUUCAUCCUCUCCUUAUGAAACGAGUCGACUAAUUGUUUUCGAACUAAGUUGGACAUCUAUAACCCUCACCAUUAUUUCGCUCGCGUACAGCACAUGUGCUAUACCACGAACUGGAGUAGUGAAGGGAAAGUUCGCUUCUCUUGAAGGAUUAUUGUCAUCCACCAGACGUCGGACACAGACGUAGUUCAUUCUAUGUAGCUGAUAGACAUGUUUUGUCUUUACUUCUACUAAACUUCUUCGACCGUUGGUACUCGAACAGAGUACACUCCAGUCAAAAACAAAAGCCCGUUCUAUAGUCAAAUGACGGUCGGGAGAGUUCGAAAGGUCAGUAUGCACGUAACCUAAAUUCAAUGACAGAAUUACACCUAUUAGUAGUACACUUCUAAUACACGUUAGACGAAGUGAACUCUAUAAAUGCCGACACGUUAUGUAGGUAUUGACUCUAGGGUCUUCUCUAGCCCUUAGACGUCAAGAACGUCCAUGACCUGUAUUCAGUCUGACCUUAUCUUCACAACGGCGGCGUUAAACAGGCCGAUUGCGUCGAUCACAUGGACGUAUAACUGUCCGCCUGGUUUGACGGUCUAGUCAAACCGCUAGACUUUAGGAACGUUCUAAAAGGUCAAUAGGGGUGACAUUGCAGAGGUAGGUACGACGUACUACAUCCCUUCGACUGCUUUGACUCUUUGGAAGAGUAGUCAAAGCUACUUACCUUGCUCUCGAUGCUCCUUGGAAAGACGGCCACAGAGAGCUUAGACCAGUUAGAGUUUUGCUAUUUUUAUUAGCCACGGGUAGAGCCGAAUCUGAGGCCUUCGCUGAUAAACAACGGCGCCGGAGCUAUGUAAGUCUGUUAAGUAGACUAGUUGUUGUAGUUGACACGUGACGGUUCUACCUACAGGAGGGACAGGACGGAGAGGAAAGAGUGUUAGGUACCGGAUUCUUGUGACGCUCACCUCCUGGAAGUUCAGGAACCCUCGUAUGGCAGUAACUCAAUAGAGCUGUAUACCCAACACCUCGGGUGUGUUCUCUCUGUUCUAUCCAAUAACUAGCUGUCGCCAGUAGGUAAGGAAACAGAUUGUUGUGAGUUCCAGCGGUCAGCGCAGUACCUCGAUGCCAAACGGGUCCCUCGGUGCGUCUUCGAGGUUUGGGAGUUCGAUGCCAAGAGCCGCGCUGUUUGUGAAAUAGUCAAACCGCUAAACCUAAAACCCGACCUCUUGCAGAGAAGCGAACUCGUGCACAUACAGCCCUCCACCAGGUUCGGGCUCGGGCCCCUCCACCUCCGACACCUCCGACGCCAGGCCCUUCGCGAGCCGUACUUAGGGUUGGUCGGCUGUGAGCUCAAGUCGUUCACCGCUACUACCGCAGCCUCAUAGAUCGACCGGUUAUAUAUGUAUUCUCCGUCUUUCUUCUUCGCUACUUCAUUUCUUUCUACAUCUCGCUUGCUCACCGUGACUUAAAUAGUGAUGAUGUUUCUUCCUUCAAACGUAGACUGUGUUGCAGCAAUGAAGCUCGCCGUUUUUCCACCUAGAGGGUUUCAGUCUCAAGAGGCAAUCGAAUGAGCAAACUCAAGCACGUCGCGAGCUAGCGCCGCUUCUUCUUUGGUUACCUGUCGUUCGACCGCUGCGCCCACAGGGCGGCCGGCGGCGGCGUCGGUGGCCGUCGGUGCUCCUCGCGGCACACCGAGUAGCCCGACGAGCACCACGAGACGAAGAAGAGGGACGGCGAGAAGGAGCGCGAGAGGGCGCCGGCGGGGUUGGAGAGGCUGCACACCGUAGACCCGCAGUCGCAGUGGCGCGCGCUGCUCUUACGCUGCCGACCCAGUCUCAGAAGCCUGCGCGGCGGUGGCCGCUCGGCCCUGUCCGACGAGCCGCCCGAGGAGAGCGGCCUGUAGUCGCUCCCGAGGACGGACUCGGCCAUGCGCAGCAGGGAGGUGGCGUCCGGCAGCGGCGUGAACGGCAGCGGCAUGGACCGCAGGGCCGACGCGUUCAUGCUCCGCGAGGUGGCGUUCACGCCGGGCCCGUGCGAGAGGAUGUUCUUCAGCGACUACGUCGACGGAAGGGGCGUGUCGUACCCGGAGCACCUCACGGCGAUGGAGCACACCCGCGGGUGGAGCCCGGUGUAGCCGCUGGCGCACGAGAGGUAGCGCAGGCGGAAGGAGAUGCGCGACGAGUGGGCGGCGCAGGAGGAGGACGUCGAGCGGCUGCUGUACCGGCCGGAGAAGACGCUCGGGAAGGGCCCGCGCUGCACCCUCGAGGGUCGGCCCCCGAAGGAGGGGCUGGUGUAGUUCCCCGAGGCGGCGCCGUCGCUGGCGUCGAUGCCCUUGAAGUAGGCCCGGCGGUUCUUGUUCUUCCUGCCCUCGCUGCUGCCGGGGCGGCCAAACGGCCGGCUCAGCGACGGCGGCAUGCGCAUGCACGUGGACCUCGUGCUGAUGGUCGUCGGCCUCGUCGAGAAGAAGACGCUGCUGCUGGUCUGGCAGGAGUCGUUGCAGUUGACCGACUAGGACGCGAGGUUGGAGAUGAAGCGCCGCCCCGACAAGGACCACGGCGUCAAGCUCCUCCUCGAGGCCACCUACAAGGGCCGCUCGCUGUGCCGCAAGGUGGUGCAGCCCUCCAUGGACAAGGUGGGCAGGUUGCUCCACACCGUCGAGUAGUGGUCCAUGAUGUGCAGCAUGUACCGGUCGAAGCUCCUUUUAUAGCCCGACGUCUAGUGGUGGAAGCGGACCUUGGGGCACGGCAAGCUCCUUAUGAAGUUCGUCCAGAGCCGUACGUGCUCGGUCCUCUUCUAGGACGGCCUCCAGCUGUGGUGGGGCCCGCAGGAGGUACUCCGCUGCCGCCGCUGCAGGUUCCGCCACGAGCAGUCGAGCCUCGUGGGCCUCAUGCGGCUCUUCGAGUUCAGGUACAUGAUGCUCGUGCGCUGGCACUGGCCGCUCUGGCACUCGCACGACGUCGGGCCGCCGCCGCCCUUGGUGAGCGUGUUGGUCUUCCGCCACCACCUCUACAAGGACGUCUCGAUGACGCUGCACAGCCACCACUCGCCGACCAGGUGGCACCCCAUGCAGCCCGUGCCGGAGCGGCCCGACUUCGGCACCGACGACGACCGCGGCUCCUUGGUCUGCCGCCGGCUGGGCGGGACGCAGGUCCGCUGCAGGUACCUCGGCACGAAGGUGCGCGGCGGCUCGAUGCUGACGUCCCGGUUCUUCUUCCCCCUGGAGCCGCGGCAAGAGGCCGUGCAGUCCGUAACGCUUCUACAGCCGCUACCGGAGUUUGAUAAGCUGACUAAAACCGGUCCAUCGAAGGUUACUGGGGCAUUUAAAUGUUCGUCCCUUCCCAACGUCUCACUAAGUUACCACAACACACUUGAACAGACAUCAACACAAGUUUGUUCUUAUUAUGACAUCAACAAAACGAUUACAUGAAUGACAUUCGUUUUCCUUAUUAUGACAUCAACACUGGGUCGUGUAAAGUAAAAUAAGAUUUGAGAGUCUGUCGAGACUACGGAAUGACAAAAAACCUGAAUUAAACGUAAGACCCUGACAUA